GGGGGCUCUCCAGAUGUGUCCAAUUUCCCCCAGACCUGUCACUUCUCAUCUGGGUUUGGCCACAAGACUUACUGGGAGCCUGUAGCACAGAGGGACAGACGGAAGCUGGAUGCAGGGGAGGGGCCGUGACUCAGUAAGCCAGAGGCAGGGAUGGGGGUCGAGGGCAGCAGAGCACACUUUGAAGUUCACGUUCAAGCCUAGAAAUUGUUCCUAAUGAGAUAGUUGCACACGUGUGGGGGGGGGGGAGCACAUGGGGGCCCCUCCCGGCGUCACUGACAACCGGGGAAUUUGGGAAGAGACAAAUGCUCGUCAGGGCCUGGAUGGUUAAUAAAUCGUGCUGCGUCCAGACGACGGGCCAGUGCGAGUCAUCGAAGAGAGUAACGAGGAUGGAGAAUUCCGGCAUCUUUUGGUUUUAAGUCAACGUAACUCAGUGUAGCUUACACUGGAAUUUCCUGGCUCAGUUCCCGGAGUAUCAGUGAUGGACUUGGCCUCGGGGAUAUAGAGACCAGAGAUGCAAAAUGCCCUUGUCCCCUCCUUCUCUCAUUCUCUCAGUCUGUCUGAGCUGCUUCUGUCUCUGGCUUCAGAUGAGUUUUCGCGGUAGGGCAGCCUGGCCGCAGACAGCUCUAGGCUCACCUCACAUCACCUUUGGCUUCAGAAGGAGGGCCCACCAAGACAAAUUCUCAGGGUAAGACUUCGAUUGGCUAGGCCUCGGUCACGUGCUCAUCUCUGGACCAAUCACUGCAAGAGCAUGGGAGGGGCACCGUGACUGGUCAGGCCCGGGUCGAGUGCCCAGCCCAGUGGUCAGAAGGGAGGUGAGGGGACAGCCCCGCCAGAACCACCAGGAGAAGGGCAGCUCCUCAAAGCAAGGAAAACUGGGUGGAUAAAAGCAACAGAUGUCCAGUCUUGCUAUUUUCUGAAUGCUCAGCUAGACAACAAGACGAAAGCCAACGAAAUGGGUGGAUCUGGUCCCUGGUCCACUUAACUGCUGCCUUGGAUGUAAAUACACAGUGGAAGAAUGUUCACGAAAAUCUUAACAGGCACGGUCUCUGUGCCGUGGGAUUUAAGGUUCUGCACCCGAGAUGAGGGCCUCCCUUGCCUCCCCCUGGCUCAGCCCUGUUGGGGGUAGGUGGGGAGUGCCUGGGCUGCAGCCAGAGGAUGGGGACAACCUCACAAGGAAACUUCCUGACUCCAUCUGGUGGUGUUCAUUCACCCACCUGCCCACCCUCCCUCCAUCUUCCACUGUCCAUUCUUCCAUCCAUCCCUCCAUCGCCCAUCCAUCUGUCCAUAUGCACAGCGCUUAAGAACUUGCAUUCUGCAUUUAUGGCCUGAGUUUGCAUCCUGGCUGCCCAUCUUGGUGACCUGUGACGUCCAUUCAACACCCACACUUCCCGUUUGAUGUAUUUUUACACUUAAAAAUUAUUCAUAUAAUACUUGAAUACAUUGUUUAAAAAUCAUCUAUUAAUCUCUAAUCUUCACAGACAUUCAGUGAGAUAGAUGUGAUCAUCCCCAUUUUAUAAUGAGGAGCUGAGGCCCGGAGGGUAAGGUGUCCUGUCCAAGGUUCCAUGGUCUAUGAGUGAUAGCAACGUGAGACCUGAGAGUCUAGGUCACAAAGCCGGCCACGUCCGUCUUCCCCCGUCACUGCGUCUCCUGAGGGUGGAGCGAGGUCCAGAGGGCCCUGGAGAGCCCGUCGGACGGCAGACAAUCCACAGAUGAUUCUAUGCACGUGAUGAGUUCUGGGAACAGGUGUGAACAGGGACAGAAAGGAAGCAGCCUUGGCGGGAAAUUCCUCUUGUACCGGACGCCACAGAAGGGCAUUCACAUCCCUUGUCUCAAGGGCGGCUCACCACACCCCUGCCAGGUGGCUGUUGUGAUCCCGUUUCAGUGACGAGUGAGGCUGAGCCUCAGAGAGUUUCCGUGAUACCCCCGGGUCACACAGCCAGACGGCGGGGAGCUAGCAGCCAGCCCCAGCUCUGACGUGCACUUUAGAAAGGUCACUCUCACUGUCAUGUGAAAGAAGGACUUGGUAAGACAGAGAAAAGCAGAGAGACUCAAAUGAUCUUCACAAGGGGGCCAAGAGCAUUCAGUGCGGGAAAGGGCUGUCUUUUCAAUGAGUGGUGCUGGGAAAACCGGAUCUCCACAUGUGAAAGGAGGAAGUUAGUCCCUACCUCACGCCGUACACAAAACUUCACUCAAAAUGGAUCAGGGACCUAAGUGUAAGGCCUAAAACAGUAAAACUCUUAGAAGAAAACACAGGACCAAAGAUUCAUGAUGCUGGAUUUGGUGAUGAUUCCUUGCAUAAGACUCCAAAGGGACAGGUAACAAAAGGAAAAAUAGACAAAUUGGACUUCAUGAAAAUUUAAAAAUUUUGUGCAUUAAAAAUUACUGUCAACAGAGUAAAAAGGUAACUCCCAGAAUGGGAGAAAAUAUUUACAAAUCAUAUAUCUGAUAAGGAAUUAAUAUCCAGAACAUACAGAGAAGUAAAACUCAACAACAACAAAAAACCCAAAUCAAAAAUGGGCAAAUGACUUGAAUUGACGUUUUUCUAAAGAAGACAUGCAAAUGGCCGAUAAGCACAUGAGAGAUGAUCAACACCACUGAUCAUGAGGGAGAUGCAAAUCAAAACCGCAGUGAGUACCACCUCACACCCAUCAGGAUGGCUGUUAUAUUAAAAAGCAAACAAAUGGAAAAUAAGAAGUGUUGGUGAGGAUGUGGACAGACUGGAACCCUCGUGCACCUUUGGUGGGAAUGGAAAAAGGUACAGCUGCUCUGGAAAACCGUGUGGUGGUUCCUCAAAAAGUUAAAAAUAGAGUUACUAUAUGACCCAGAAAUUCCACCUCUGGGUAUACACCCAGAAGAACGGAAAACAGUCUCGAACAGAUAUUUGCACACCCAUGCGCACAGCAGCAUUAUUCACAACAGCCAAAAUGCGGAAGUAACCCAAGUGCCCGUCAACAGAUGAGCGGAUAAACAAAAUGGGGCACAUCCAUACCAUGGAAUAUUAUUCGGCCCUAAAAAGGAGGGGAAUUCUGACACGUGCCACAACACAGAUGAGCCCUGAGGACAUUAGGCUGAGUGAAGUAAGCCACAAAAGGACAAAUAGCGUAUGAUUCUCUUUAUAUGAGGUCCCUACAGUAGUCAGACUCAUAGAGACAGAAAGUAGGAGGGUGGUUGCCAGGGCCUGGUGGAGGGGGAUGCGGAGUGACCGUUUAAGGGGCACAGUUUCAGUUUUACAAGAUGAAAAGAGCUGUGGGGGGAGGUGCUGGUUGUAAAACAUGAUGACGGUGCUUAAUACCACGGAACUAUGCACUUAAAAAUGGUCAAGGCGGUAAAUUUGAUGUUCUCUGUACCCACAACAUAGUGUACACAUAGAGACACAACAGAGUGUGAUGGAUUCACGGAUCUGGAGCCCCACAGCAGGAUGCAGAAACGUAGCUGGGCGUCAUCGACGUGCAGGUGACCACAAGGGCACGAUCUCCACGAGCUUGCUCAUGGACGCUUUGAGGAGAGAAGAGGGCUGAGGUCAGAUCCCUCUAGAGCUCAGCGGUAUGGGGUCCAAGCUGGAGGAAGGGCCCGGAGAUGAGGAUGAGGUCAGGGAGGUGGAGGGACGGGAGGAGAGUGUCAGGGAAGGCGAGGGAGGGGUCAGGAGGCACCUGGUCCCCCUCGUUCAGAGAGUCUUUGCUCCCUCCUGGGCCCAGCACCCCUCCACUUUCAGUCCGUGUGAUUUGUGGGGCUGACCCACCCCCAGCUCCAGGAAGCGGGGAGAGAAGGCCUGGCCUGGGUCCAGCUAAUAAUAUUCCAUCUCCUGGCUCUGGUGAUUGGCUCAAGAGUGGGCCUGUGACCAACGUAGGGCCUGGAGAUUCAAUCAUGGGACUUCUGCUGCAAAAACUAGGAAGACAAAACUUUCAGGCUUGAGUUCUAGCUGUGAGGAUAAUGCCAAUCUAGAGCUGCCAGUGCCACAUACAGAGCCUGAGCAUUAAGCCAAAGCAGAGGAAAGUGAGUGGGGAGAUGGAGAGCAAGAGGGAUCCAGUCUGGGUGAUAGCAUAUGAGCUUCUGGAUCCAUCAAUGCCUGAAGCCUGCACAACUGGGUCACCCGAGCCAACCAGUUCCCUUUAUGGCUGUGGCAAAUACUGAAAGCAGGCUCCCUCCACACUCAUUCCCAAUCUGUCUCCCGCCUGCCUUCCUCUACCACAGAGUCUGAAAAGCUGAGUCAUUAUUUCCCAGCCUCCUUUGCAGCCAAGGGUGACCAUGAGACACUUUCUGGCCAAUGAGGAAGCCCCUGGGGAGGGUGCCCCUUCCCGAAUAAAGGGAAGUUCUCAUUAGCAGAAUGCCAUUUUUGUCCACUUUCUCGCUGCUUGGAAUGUGGGUGUGAGGCAAGGAGGCGCAGCCGCCAUCUUGCAGCUACAAGGCAACAAGCACGAGAUGCAGGACAAGCACUAAGGAGGAUGGGACCAAAACACAGGCUGAGCCCAGGUUCCUGACGGCACUGUGGGGCUGCGGCUCCAGGCCUGGGCUGCCCCGUCCUGACGUCUUGCAGAGCGAGGCAAUGAGCCCCUGCCACUGGGUUUCUGUUUCCCGCGUGGAGUGGUGUUGGCUGACACACAGAGCCAGGUGAAGGACCCAAACCAGUGCAAGGCGAGUGUUUAAAAAGCACUUAAAAGGGGAGAGAGUGGCUGCCAGCCACACGAUGCGGACAGGCUGGGAGAAUGGGGCCCAUGAUGGAGCCGGGGGGCUCCCUCCCCUUCCAGUUCCUCUCCCUUCACUGGCUUCCCUGAACCAUGGAGCCUGGAAAGCUAGAAAAACUGCUUCUCCCGGAUCCCUUGCAGCUAGGGUUCUGGGUGUGAACUCGAUUCU
rnacentral:lncRNA from 1 species